rnacentral:pre_miRNA from 1 species
AAUAAGUGCAGUUUUACACUAUUCACGUUCAACGUUUGACCGUUCCUCUUAUUUGAAAAUUUUUUAUGAUUAGUAUUUUUAUUGCUAUUAGAUGAUAAAACAUGAAUAGUACUUUAUGUGUGAUUAAAUAUUUUUAAAUUUUUUAUAAAUUUUUCAAAUAAGACGGACGGUCAAACGUUGGGCACGGAUAUCCACGGCUGCACUUAUU